rnacentral:snRNA from 1 species
GGUUAUGUGAGGUGAUUUGGCUAUGAUACUUGAUACCCCCGUUAACUGUUGGGGCCCAUUUGGCUUGUCUGGCUAGUGAGUUCUGGUGUCCCCUUCACCUCUCGUACUUCUUGGUGGGAGAAGACAGCCUUCCUUCUGCCAAGGGUGUACGAGCAGCUGUGCUCCCAUAUGCUAGAACCUUCAGACAAGCUUUCAAAGGCCACCAUUGGGUAGGUAGCCAAGCUUCCAAGACUCCAGCUCAUCCAAAUGAGGCCCUGCACAGGGUGUCUCCAUUU